rnacentral:rRNA from 1 species
UCGGUCAGAGACGGCCUGGACCUCCUUCGGUGCCGUUCUUGCUUGCUCUUUUCUUCCGCCUUUCCCCUGCCCCCUUUUUCUUUCGUGGGCUCGACCCUCCCCUCUUGACCCUCUUUGUUCCUUUUUAGCUUGCAACCUCCGUUAAAACUUAAUGCAAUUGAUCUACUUUUCCGACCUCUCGCUUGGUUCUGGCAUCUGCGAUAAACGCUGUGAAUUGCAAACUUCAGUGUGAAUUGCAAUCCCAUUGAAUCAUCGCGCCCCCCGGUUUUCUCCCUCCCUGCCCCUUCGAGCGUGCUUGCCUGAGCGAGCCUUGCUUGACCCUGGGUCUUUGGUUUUGGUUGUCGUUCUUCUACCCAUCGCAGGAUCUUCUGCCUCCAUUGGUUGCCGGCCUUCUGUUGACUUGGCUGCUCAACUAUCUUGCACUUUCAAUCUACCCAUGUCGAGGGUCCAUCCCGAAGCUAUUUUUUUUAACCUUUUGAACUAAGACCAAGUAAGGAUUCCCAGGAAAUGUUAAACAUAUCCAUAGAGCGACACGAAACAAGUAGGACUACCCGCUGAACUUUAAGCAUAUCAAUAAGCGGAGGAAAACAC